GCGCCGGUAGCUCAGUGGAUUAGAGCAUCUGACUACGGAUCAGAAGGGCGGGGGUUCGAAUCCCUUCCGGCGCU
rfam:Bacterium TMED15 isolate TMED15 142587, whole genome shotgun sequence.